rnacentral:rRNA from 1 species
CCCUUAGAUGUUCUGGGCCGCACGCGCGCUACACUGAUGCAUUCAACGAGUCUAAAACCUGCUCUGAUAGGGGUGGGUAAUCUUUUGAAUGUGCAUCGUGAUUGGGAUAGAUGAUUGCAAUUUUUCAUCUUCAACGAGGAAUGCCUAGUAAACGCAAGUCAUCAGCUUGCAUUGAUUACGUCCCUGCCCUUUGUACACACCGCCCGUCGCUCCUACCGAUUGAAUGAUCCGAUGAAUAUCAUGGAUUGAGGAUGCAAGUAGGUUAGCCUAUCUUCAUCUUCUAGAAGUGAAGUAAAUCUUAUCAUUUAGAGGAAGGAGAAGUCGUAACA